rnacentral:rRNA from 1 species
UACGGAGGGUGCGAGCGUUAAUCGGAAUCACUGGGCGUAAAGCGCGCGUAGGCGGCUUUUCAAGUCAGGGGUGAAAUCCCACGGCCCAACCGUGGAACUGCCUUUGAAACUGUAGAGCUUGAGUGUCGGAGAGGGUGGCGGAAUUCCAGGUGUAGGAGUGAAAUCCGUAGAUAUCUGGAGGAACACCAGUGGCGAAGGCAGCAUACCGGCGCCCUACUGACGCUGAGGCACGAAAGUGCGGGUAUCGAACAGG